rnacentral:rRNA from 1 species
CAGCCGCCGCGGUAAUACGGAGGGUGCAAGCGUUAAUCGGAAUUACUGGGCGUAAAGCGCACGCAGGCGGUCUGUCAAGUCAGAUGUGAAAUCCCCGGGCUUAACCUGGGAACUGCAUUUGAAACUGGCAGACUGGAGUCUUGUAGAGGGGGGUAGAAUUCCAGGUGUAGCGGUGAAAUGCGUAGAGAUCUGGAGGAAUACCGGUGGCGAAGGCGGCCCCCUGGACAAAGACUGACGCUCAGGUGCGAAAGCGUGGGGAGCAAACAGGAUUAGAGACCCGCGUAGUCCCUGUCUCUUAUAA